ACAUUUUAGUCNUGCGACAAAGCCCCUUCGGGGGUGAGUACAGCGGCGGACGGGUGAGUAACACGUGAGUGAUCUACCCGGCGGCGGGGGACAACCCAGGGAAACCUGGGCUAAUACCGCAUACAGCGGAGGGAGUAAGUGCCCUUCGUGAAAGCUGGCCUCUCCAUGGAAGCUAGCGUCGCCGGAGGAGCUCGCGGCCUAUCAGCUUGUUGGUGGGGUAACGGCCUACCAAGGCUAUGACGGGUAGCUGACGUGAGAGCGUGAGCAGCCACACUGGGACUGAGACACGGCCCAGACUCCUACGGGAGGCAGCAGUGGGGAAUAUUGCGCAAUGGGCGAAAGCCUGACGCAGCGACGCCGCGUGGGGGAGGAAGGCCUUAAGGUUGUAAACCCCUGUCAGGUGGGACGAACCCCGGGUCGGUUAAUAAUCGGCUCGACUGACGGUACCACCAGAGGAAGCUCCGGCUAACUCCGUGCCAACAGCCCGCGGUAAUACGGAGGGAGCGAGCGUUGUUCGGAAUCACUGGGCGUAAA
rnacentral:rRNA from 1 species